ensembl:lncRNA
AUCUGUAGCCCAGGACCAUUCUCCAGUUGUCCUGUUUUGCCUUUAAGACUAAAAAACAGAAUUUUGCUGGAAGUGAAGCAGAAGUGACUAUGAAAAAAGAAGAAAGUUAAUGGGAUUCACUUUGACUGCCUUCUGUAUUUCUUAACGAUAUAUACCACACAAACUGUACAGAAACUUAAAGAGAUUAUUAAAAUAAUUACAGGUUAUCUCGGCUGGGGUAAGGAGCGUGAGAGAGAGGAGAGGAAAAACAAUGAUAACAAAGACCGUGAAACAAAGACAACAAAAAAGAAGGAAACACAGCAGGGGAGUACGGUUGCCUUACAUGGAGGUUUAAUGCCAGUUCAAUACCAAAAUCUCUAUUAACAUAACAACUAAACCCAUAUCAUCAGCUGCCUUUCAGCUAUAACUAAGCAGACUCCCCGCUCCAAGGCUCAUCUAUCACCUCUCCUCAUACUGAUGUAAAGAAAGAUUUCCAAGAUACCCAUGACUUUAAAUUUUUAUGUUGGGUGUGAAAAAAGCAACAUGAAGCUCUGAAGGAUACAGCUUGCUAAAGAGUGUUAAGUGUUCCUUUGCAAGAUAUUUUCCUGCUCUUUUAGAAACAAGAUUCACAAGCAUUCUCUGGGACUUGAGCUGUUUAACUUCAUCAAACAGUUAAAGACUGGGUCCCCAAGUUUGUCUGUAAAGGCAGGAACAGUUACAGAGAAAGUGACAGCAGAAGAAAUGCUUCCACCAGAAGGAGGCUGUUUUGGUUACAACUCUGCAUUCCAGAAACGAACUCUUUGAAGCAGUUAUGUAAAACUGAAUGGUGUAAAAAAGGUGACUGUGAAUCAAUUCUGUACUGUCUUUUCCAUAGAUUGGUAGUUCAGAAUAAGUGAAGGCGAUUAUUUAUGCAGAGGAAUUUGGUGCUACAGGGAACAGGAGACAAGACAUAUUGACUGUCAGCCAAUGCUGAAGACAGCAAACAGCAUUGAAUUUUUGGAUGGAUUUUCAAUAUAGCUCAUUAUAGCAGUUAUUAUGACCAUAUAGGUAGGUUUGCUACCUCCAAAAUACCAUGAAACUGUGAGCACUGAAUAUGACCUUCUUUCUUUUAAUUGUGAUACAUAGUAAUUAUACAUCCAUCGUAAAUAUGACCAGGCCGUACGUAACAUUGCUUAAUUCUAUAUUGAUUUGGUUCAGUUGCAGCACUCAAUUUUUGCAAGCUGUAUGUACAUUAGGAGUACCCUAAUCACAUGUGAAAAGCCUUUGCACAACACUGCUGUACCUUCUUGGGUAAGUUUCCUACCUUCUUUUAAUGCAUUUCACUAACCUUACAUGGUUAACUUCUUA